rnacentral:rRNA from 1 species
UACGAAGGGGACUAGCGUUGUUCGGAAUCACUGGGCGUAAAGCGCACGUAGGCGGAUGUGUCAGUCAGGGGUGAAAUCCCGGGGCUCAACCUCGGAACUGCCUUUGAUACAGCACGUCUCGAGUCCGGAAGAGGUGGGUGGAAUUCCUAGUGUAGAGGUGGAAUUCGUAGAUAUUAGGAAGAACACCGGUGGCGAAGGCGGCCCACUGGUCCGGUACUGACGCUGAGGUGCGAAAGCGUGGGGAGCAAACAGG